GACGAACGCUGGCGGCAGGCUUAACACAUGCAAGUCGAGCGAGCGGCGGCCGGGUGAGUAAUGUCUGGGAACAUGACUGCUGGAGGGGGAUAAAUACUGGAAACGGUAGAUAAUCAAGCAUACCCUCAGAUGUGCCGAGAUGGGAUUAGCUAGUAGGUGGGGUAAUGGCUCACCUAGGCGACGAUCCCUAGCUGGUCUGAGAGGAUGACCAGCCACACUGGAACUGAGACACGGUCCAGACUCCUACGGGAGGCAGCAGUGGGGAAUAUUGCACAAUGGGCGCAAGCCUGAUGCAGCCAUGCCGCGUGUGUGAAGAAGGCCUUCGGGUUGUAAAGCACUUUCAGCGAGGAGGCGUUACUCGCAGAAGAAGCACCGGCUAACUCCGUGCCAGCCGCCGCGGUAAUAC
rnacentral:rRNA from 1 species